rnacentral:lncRNA from 1 species
ACAUUCAUAAUUGGUUUUAUGGUGACUAAUAUAAUUCUGGGUGUUAAGCCAAAUACUUACAAGUUGGUGUUCUAUUGCAGUACUAUUUUGAUACUCUCUUCCCCUGCAUCCCAGUUCCUGUACUGCGGUUGAUCGUAGCAUUGGUGGUGUUUGGAGUAGUAGGGGCAGUGCUGGAAAGUACUCCUGUGGUGAAAUCUUGUGCUAGGG